rnacentral:tRNA from 1 species
GAUCUACUAGCUCAGUCGGUAGAGCACUUGACUUUUAAUCAAGGUGUCCGGGGUUCGAUUCCCCGGUAGGUCA